GAUGAACGCUGGCGGCGUGCCUAAUACAUGCAAGUCGAGCGAACGGACGAGAAGCUUGCUUCUCUGAUGUUAGCGGCGGACGGGUGAGUAACACGUGGAUAACCUACCUAUAAGACUGGGAUAACUUCGGGAAACCGGAGCUAAUACCGGAUAAUAUUUUGAACCGCAUGGUUCAAAAGUGAAAGACGGUCUUGCUGUCACUUAUAGAUGGAUCCGCGCUGCAUUAGCUAGUUGGUAAGGUAACGGCUUACCAAGGCAACGAUGCAUAGCCGACCUGAGAGGGUGAUCGGCCACACUGGAACUGAGACACGGUCCAGACUCCUACGGGAGGCAGCAGUAGGGAAUCUUCCGCAAUGGGCGAAAGCCUGACGGAGCAACGCCGCGUGAGUGAUGAAGGUCUUCGGAUCGUAAAACUCUGUUAUUAGGGAAGAACAUAUGUGUAAGUAACUGUGCACAUCUUGACGGUACCUAGUCAGAAAGCCACGGCUAACUAUGUG
rnacentral:rRNA from 1 species